GACGAACGCUGGCGGCGUGCUUAACACAUGCAAGUCGAGCGGAAAGGCCCUGCUUUUGUGGGGUGCUCGAGUGGCGAACGGGUGAGUAACACGUGAGUAACCUGCCCUUGACUUUGGGAUAACUUCAGGAAACUGGGGCUAAUACCGGAUAGGAGCUCCUGCUGCAUGGUGGGGGUUGGAAAGUUUCGGCGGUUGGGGAUGGACUCGCGGCUUAUUAGCUUGUUGGUAGGGUAGUGGCUUACCAAGGCGUUGACGGGUAGCUGGCCUGAGAGGAUGACCAGACAGGCUGAGAUUGAGAAACGGCCCAGACUCCUACGGGAGGCAGCAGUGGGGAAUAUUGGAGAAUGGGCGAAAGCCUGCUCCAGCAAGGCCGCGUGAGUGAGGAAGGCCUUAGGGUUGUAAAGCUCUUUUAGCCGGGAUGAUAAUGACAGUACCGGGAGAAUAAGCUCCGGCUAACUCCGUG
rnacentral:rRNA from 1 species